AUUAAUGCCCCUAAUUAAUAACACUAAUAGAAUUAAGGACUUUAUUAGAGAUGAUUUUGUAUUUCGUAGGUAGAUAACAACGGUUCAAACCGUCUCUAUAUAUAUUAAGGGUUAAAAUAGGAAUUUUAAAAUUUCUUCCCGUACGGAUUCUCACUUUCACUUAGAUUGUUUUUCUCAUUCUCGUUUUUACUUCAGUCCCUUUCACUUUAAUCGUUUUUCAUUCAAAUACAAAUCGAUUUAUCACUGAUUCAUACAAUGUAAAUGUUUUAACCGAUUCAGUGAUUAAAUACAGAGAUCGAUUUUUCAAUUUGUACAAGGAUUAGAAAUUAGGUUUUUAUCGAUUCAGCGAUUGAUUAGGUUUUUUUCAUCGAUUGAAUACAGAGAUCAAUAAAUAUCAGCGAUCGAUUUUUUCAUCGAUUCGAGAAUUUGAUUCAGAAACUCGUUUCAGCGGCGAGGAAGGCUUUCAUGUGUUGAUUUUAGUGUUAGGUUUCUAAGUUUGAGUUCUGAUUUAAUACCAACAAAUUUCAGGUGAAGUUAAAGUUAACAGUUUACACUGAUUUACCUCAUUUUCAGGUGCAGAAUUGAAUUCUGAUAUAGACUGCUAACUUGUGGUUCAUUCUGAUUUAGACUCCUAACUUGAGCUUCUGAUCAGGAUUACCAUCAGGUAACUUUGCUUGCUGUCAUUUCAGUGUUGCCGUAAUGCUUGAUUGUUUUCCGGAAUAGUAGAAAGCACAUAAGCUGGUAGGGGCGGUCAAAACCGCCCCUACGGACCGCCUCUAGUUUUGUACAUACCCCGGCGCCUGAAAAAACCGUCGCUACAACAUAGCUACGGUCAGAAAAACGACGCACGUGAGACGGUUUUGAAAAGUGUCUCUAAAUUCUGUAGAGGCGGUUUAAACCGCCCCUACAGUCAAUUUAAACUGCCCCUAUAGGCUAAGUCUGCUGUAGUGAAUAGACUCUCUAAUCAUAUAUUUUGGUAUCACAUGACAUGACAGAAUCCAAACAAAAGAUCCAAAUGCAGACAUAUAGAAUGAGCCAGUUUCUAGCUAAAACAUCACAAAACCAAACCAAAGCUCCAUAAAGUACGAGCCAAUUUUAUGAGCAAAAGAUUACCUUCAGCUGUUGAAAGAAGCAGACACGUCUCAAGGUCGGACGGAAAAGCUCCAGUCCGGCGUAUUUCAGAAGCACCCAGAAGGAGGACUCCCAGUGUAUAAAAUGAAUACUAAACUUAACAAAAUGUCACAAAAAGAGGACUCCCGGUCAUUUUUUGCUGACAUGGCCUCUUACUUCGUCCAAUCAAUGGGAAACACAUGGUUGAAAGUCCUUUUGUAAUGUUUCGCUAAGUUUACUAUUCAUUUUGUAAUAGAAAAUUGUUUAGUACUCAUACUACAAUUUCCGUAUAGUUUAGUACCCUUUCAAAUUUAACAUCCCUCGCUAUUCAAAUAGGAAAUUAAGAGUGAUAAAUUAAAUUGAGCCAUUUUCAAUCUAAACCAUGCAACCACAUAUUUCCUAAAAUCUUUCUUCAUGGGAUUUCGAGAACCCUUUGUCUUUUUCUACCUUAAAUCUAUAUUUAAAUAACUCUGUAUCAAAUUAAACCAUUUAAUUAGCUAUAGUCCGUUGAAACGUUACAGAAUAUACUUUUAUA